rnacentral:tRNA from 1 species
CAUGUUGGUUUAAACCCCUCCUUUAUCA